rnacentral:rRNA from 1 species
AGAACGAACGCCGGCGGCAGGCCUCAAACAUGCAAGUCUAGGGGGUGUAGCAAUACAUCACCGGCGGACGGGUGCGUAACGCGUGGGAAUGUACCUAUUGGUUCGGAACAACUGAGGGAAACUUCAGCGUAAUACCGGAUGAGCCCGAAAGGGGAAAGAUUUCUCGCCAAUAGAUCAGCCCGCGUCCGAUUAGCUAGUUGGUGGGGUUAAAGCCUACCAAGGCGACGAUCGGUAGCUGUUCUGAGAGGAAGAUCAGCCACACUGGGACUGAGACACGGCCCAGACUCCUACGGGAGGCAGCAGUUGGGAAUCUUGGACAAUGGGGGAAACCCUGAUCCAGCCAUGCCGCGUGAGUGAUGAAGGCCUUCGGGUUGUAAAACUCUUUCGGACGGGGACGAUAAUGACGGUACCGUAGAAGAAGCUCCGGCUAACUUCGCGCCAGCAGCCGC